rnacentral:rRNA from 1 species
UUGAACGCUGGCGGCAUGCCUUACACAUGCAAGUCGAGCGGCAGCGCGGGAGCAAUCCUGGCGGCGAGUGGCGAACGGGUGAGUAAUAGAUCGGAACGUGUCCGAGAGUGGGGGAUACCUAGCGAAAGCCGUAUGCAAUACCGCAUAUCUACCUAUGGAGUGAAAGCGGGGGACCAGUAAUGGCCUCGCGCUCAUUGGAGCUGGCCUAUGUCAGAUUAGCUAGUUGGUGGGGUAAAGGCCUACCAAGGCCGACGAUCGGUAGCUGGUCUGAGAGGACGACCAGCCACACUGGGACUGAGACACGGCCCAGACUCCUACGGGAGGCAGCAGUGGGGAAUUUUGGACAAUGGGGGCGACCCUGAUCCAGCCAUGCCGCGUGCGGGAAGAAGGCCUUCGGGUUGUAAACCGCUUUUGUCAGGGAAGAAACGCUCUAAGCUAAUACCUCGGAGUAAUGACGGUACCUGAAGAAUAAGCACCGGCUAACUACGUGCCAGCAGCCGCGGUAAUACGUAGGGUGCAAGCGUUAAUCGGAAUUACUGGGCGUAAAGCGUGCGCAGGCGGUGAUGUAAGACAGAUGUGAAAUCCCCGGGCUUAACCUGGGAACUGCAUUUGUGACUGCAUCGCUGGAGUGCGGCAGAGGGGGAUGGAAUUCCGCGUGUAGCAGUGAAAUGCGUAGAUAUGCGGAGGAACACCGAUGGCGAAGGCAAUCCCCUGGGCCUGCACUGACGCUCAUGCACGAAAGCGUGGGGAGCAAACAGGAUUAGAUACCCUGGUAGUCCACGCCCUAAACGAUGUCAACUGGUUGUUGGACGGCUUGCUGUUCAGUAACGAAGCUAACGCGUGAAGUUGACCGCCUGGGGAGUACGGCCGCAAGGUUGAAACUCAGAGGAAUUGACGGGGACCCGCACAAGCGGUGGAUGAUGUGGUUUAAUUCGAUGCAACGCGAAAAACCUUACCUACCCUUGACAUGCCAGGAACUUGCCAGAGAUGGCUUGGUGCUCGAAAGAGAGCCUGGACACAGGUGCUGCAUGGCCGUCGUCAGCUCGUGUCGUGAGAUGUUGGGUUAAGUCCCGCAACGAGCGCAACCCUUAUCAUUAGUUGCUACGCAAGGGCACUCUAAUGAGACUGCCGGUGACAAACCGGAGGAAGGUGGGGAUGACGUCAGGUCAUCAUGGCCCUUAUGGGUAGGGCUACACACGUCAUACAAUGGCCGGUACAGAGGGCUGCCAACCCGCGAGGGGGAGCUAAUCUCAGAAAACCGGUCGUAGUCCGGAUCGCAGUCUGCAACUCGACUGCGUGAAGUCGGAAUCGCUAGUAAUCGCGGAUCAGCUUGCCGCGGUGAAUACGUUCCCGGGUCUUGUACACACCGCCCGUCACACCAUGGGAGCGGGUUCUGCCAGAAGUAGUUAGCCUAACCGCAAGGAGGGCGAUUACCACGGCAGGGUUCGUGACUGGGGUG